GGUGUUGUUGUGACUGCUAACAUCGAAGGCCAGAGGCGAGAAGUUUUCAAAACAAGACAUCUGGUUAGACUUACGCAAAAGCUAUCAUUUAUCCUGGUUCUGAAAGUCUCCUACCUGUUUGUCCACCUGAGGUGUUCACCUGAUUGGCUUCUUUCAAGUAACAAGAGUUUUCUGUUCUGUCAUUGUCUGAAAACAGAAAGAAUAAAAGUGUCAGCUGAAACAUGGUGUUGCAUUUUCUUCAUUUGCUUUGCGCUUCUUCUACUAGAUUUGUUUUUUACUUGUAUGAUUCUUAAUGUCUUUUUUGGCGGUUUUGUUUGAACCUUCCUUCUAAAUACUAUCCUGAAGUUGCUUUGCUAGUUCAGUUUGGAAAUUAUUCUUCAUGCAUUCGCCACAUGGUGGCGAUAAUGGCUUAUGAUGACAGUGUAUUUUGAUUUAUGAAACGUUCCUUCCCUCUAUACUGUAAGGGACAAUUAAUCAGCUUCUCACCUGGAUGACGCCCCUUCAUUAUGCCUGCUGAUACUUACCUACUUCCUGUUGUCAGAGUCUACAGCAGGAAGUGAGCUCAGCAGACAGGGUGUGUGGGGGGCAAGACUUGAAGUAUUACUGUGUGGAAUUCCCCAUUUCCCAAGUGUGAGGAAUUCCAGAUCAGCGCACACUCCAGGCAGAAUCAGGGAUGGAGGAAAACGUACAGAAACUCCACCUGAAGCUAUUCCAAUCAGCGGUUAGUAGGAAUGAAGAAAUAUGUUUUUCUGAUUCAGCUGUCUGACUGAAGUGUCCAGUCAUGACUGCGCAAACAACAGUGUCAGCAAGAUCAUGUUGGGAACAGAAAUCAUUUUGAUCCCAUUUAAUAAUGGGACAGUUGCAGCUGUCCUGCUUGUUGCACAUCGGUGUUUAACUGUGCAAACGUCAGCUCUUUAACAUCUCUGUGUUCACUAGAAGAUGUUUCAGAAGGAUUUAUCAGACCCUUUUCCAUGACCCAUGAUCUUAGACUAUUCUGGUUUUGUGCAAUUUAGGACAUAAAUACUGUAAGAAAAAAUAAUUUCUUUGUAAAUAUCAGUGAAACUUACUAGAAGUUUCUACACUCUUAAAAAUAAACAUGCUUAAAAGCUUCUUCA
ensembl:lncRNA